rnacentral:rRNA from 1 species
UACAGAGGCCAAGAGCGUUGUUCGGAUUUACUGGGCGUAAAGGGCGCGUAGGCGGCCGCGCAAGUCAAGUGUGAAAUCCCCGGGCUCAACCCGGGAAGUGCGCUUGAGACUGCGCGGCUUGGAGUCCGGGAGGGGGGAUCGGAAUGCAGGGUGUAGCGGUGAAAUGCGUUGAUAUCCUGCAGAACACCGGAGGCGAAGGCGGAUCCCUUGCACGGAACUGACGCUGAGGCGCGAAAGUCGGGGGAGCAAA